UACGGAAGGCAGCAGUGGGGAAUAUUGCACAAUGGGCGCAAGCCUGAUGCAGCCAUGCCGCGUGUAUGAAGAAGGCCUUCGGGUUGUAAAGUACUUUCAGCGGGGAGGAAGGCGAUGUGGUUAAUAACCGCGUCGAUUGACGUUACCCGCAGAAGAAGCACCGGCUAACUCCGUGCCAGCAGCCGCGGUAAUACGGAGGGUGCAAGCGUUAAUCGGAAUUACUGGGCGUAAAGCGCACGCAGGCGGUCUGUUAAGUCAGAUGUGAAAUCCCCGGGCUUAACCUGGGAACUGCAUUUUGAACUGGCAGGCUUGAGUCUCGUAGAGGGGGUAGAAUUCCAGGUGUAGCGGUGAAAUGCGUAGAGAUCUGGAGGAAUACCGGUGGCGAAGGCGGCCCCUGGGACGAAGACUGACGCUCAGGGUGCGAAAGCGUGGGGAGCAAACAGGGAUUAGGAUACC
rnacentral:rRNA from 1 species